rnacentral:rRNA from 1 species
AGAGUUUGAUCCUGGCUCAGGACGAACGCUGGCGGCGUGCUUAACACAUGCAAGUCGAACGCUGAAGCCUAGCUUGCUGGGUGGAUGAGUGGCGAACGGGUGAGUAACACGUGAGUAACCUGCCCCCUUCUUUGGGAUAACGCCCGGAAACGGGUGCUAAUACUGGAUAUUCACUGAUCUUCGCAUGGGGGUUGGUGGAAAGGUUUUUUCUGGUGGGGGAUGGGCUCGCGGCCUAUCAGCUUGUUGGUGGGGUGAUGGCCUACCAAGGCUUUGACGGGUAGCCGGCCUGAGAGGGUGACCGGUCACAUUGGGACU